UUCUUUUUAGAUAUUAAAAUAGAAAGUAAGACCUGCCCACUGAGUAUAAUUAAAGGGCCGCGGUAAUUUGACCGUGCGAAGGUAGCAUAAUCAUUAGCCUCUUAAUUAGAGGAUGGAAUGAAUGGUUUUUCCUUAAAUUUCUUUAUUUAUAAAUAUAAAUUGAAUUUUCAUUUAAAGUGAAAAUGCUUUAGAAUAUAAAAAAGACGAUAAGACCCUAUAGAGUUUUAUUAGUUUUAAAAUUAUGGGCUUAACAAUUAUUAAAAAAUUAAUUUUAUUGGGGCAAUAUUAGAAUAAGUAUAACUUCUAAAAAUAAAAAUCUUCACUAGAAAAUUAAACAAAUUACCUUAGGGAUAACAGCGUUAUAAUUUUUGAGAGUUCUUAUCGACAAAAUUGUUUGCGACCUCGAUGUUGAAUUAAAAUUUUUAUUUAGGGCAGAAUUUAAAAUAAAUUGUCUGUUCGACUAUUAAAUUUUU
rnacentral:rRNA from 1 species